rnacentral:rRNA from 1 species
CAGUACCUACGGGGGGCAGCAGUGGGGAAUAUUGCACAAUGGGGGAAACCCUGAUGCAGCGACGCCGCGUGAGUGAAGAAGUAUCUCGGUACGUAAAGCUCUAUCAGCAGGGAAGAAAAAAAGUCUUUGGCUUUGGACGGUACCUGACUAAGAAGCCCCGGCUAACUACGUGCCAGCAGCCGCGGUAAUACGUAGGGGGCAAGCGUUAUCCGGAUUUACUGGGUGUAAAGGGUGCGUAGACGGCAGUGCAAGUCUGGUGUGACAUGCCGGGGCUCAACCCCGGAACUGCUUUGGAAA